UGAUUGAGUAGGGCAACCCUUGACCUCUGACCUCCAUGUGCUUGCACACAGUAGUGACCACACAAAACUGUAUCCCACAUGGUGUUCUCCAACCCAUGCCAAGUCUGUGUUUCCCAGCUAACAGAUACUGAAAGUGUACAGCCAAAAAAAAAAAAAAAAAAAAGAAAAAGUACUUGUUUUUCUAGUGUUCUAGAGAAAAUAAACUUAGCCCUAAAAAUAACCAAUCCUUUAAUCCUGACACUCAGGAAGUAGAGGAAGGCUUGGAAUGCAAUGUUAUAAAGGUUUUGCAAAAUUGUUUACAGUAGACAUCCAAGUUUAGGGCCAUGGGUAUAGCUCAAUGAUAGAGCACUUGCCUAGAAUGCACAAAACCCUAGAAUGCCAUUAAAGGGACAAAAAUGAAACUUAAAACCCAAAGUUUCAUAUAACACUUUGAUAAAGUUGGCUUCUGCCUAAGAAAGCACUGUGGAUCUGGCUAGACCACAAAAAGGGACAGCAUUGUAACAGCUUCACCAUGGGCAGAAAGGCACAGGUUGUGCUGUGCUUUAGCCUGCAUUUGUCUAUCCAAACUUGCUAGUUUUAUCGGCUUUUUACUUUUUUGUACUUUAUUUUUCCUAUAAAGUCCUUUUCAGAAGU
rnacentral:lncRNA from 1 species